CCUACGGGAGGCAGCAGUGGGGAAUAUUGGACAAUGAGGGAAACCCUGAUCCAGCAAUGCCGCGUGAGUGAAGAAGGCCUUAGGGUUGUAAAGCUCUUUCGCCCGCGACGAUGAUGACGGUAGCGGGAGAAGAAGCCCCGGCUAAUUCCGUGCCAGCAGCCGCGGUAAU
rnacentral:rRNA from 1 species